AAAACCUCAGCACCCCACCCAAACAGUCAGAAAAAGGUGCAAGCCCGAGCGGUCUUUUACCCUCUGACAGGAAAAGGAGCAGCUGUCAGCAUGUGCUAUAGGACGUUACACAUAGGAUCAGGUGCUGACAUGGAUGUGUGCCUUACAAACUACGGUCACUGCAACUACAUAUCGGGGAAACAUGCCUGUAUUUUCUAUGAUGAGAAUACAAAGCAUUAUGAGCUUCUGAACUAUAGCGAGCAUGGCACCACAGUGGAUAAUGUCCUGUACUCAUGCGAUUACAUGUAAUUAGUUUGUGC